ensembl:misc_RNA
UUGACGGUCCUAGGAACUGAAGGUUUCCAUUUACCCCAGAGCAUAGGCAGGAGCAGUGCAAGCUUCCCCACAUUUCCCCAUCAUUCUACCUCAGCCCUGUCCUAGACAGACCACCUCUAGGGUCAUGAUCCUGCUGACACAUCCCACAGGGAGCCAGU